UAAAAAACAGCAGUUGUUUAAACGGUGGCUAAUGUUAGCAGGCAGACUGGCUGUUAGCAUGAGGAAGCAGCCAAGCAGGAUGACAGACAGGCGCUACAGGGGCUAAAAUUAGCUUGCCACUGCCUGGCUAACUUGACAAUAUUUCGACUAAAUAAGGUCUCAGACGAGGUUAAUCGACGACACAGCAGGUAACUAUUAACGCCUUCGGCUAGCAAACGGCUAACCCAGGAGCUAACUGUUAGCUAAUAACAGUCUCGAGCUGGACUAGCUAAUAUUAACGGCUGUCUCCCCUUCCUGUGGGAUCUGACGAGCAGGCUAAGACGUGUUUUGGACGCCGGACGAGUUCAUUUCUUCUUCCUCCUCCUGCUCCUUCGCUGCUUCCUGACAGUCAGCACACAACAAAGGGACACUACUGCCAUCUAAUGUUACUGUUUAUACUCUUAGUAAAAAAUCUAGCGUUUUGUCUCAGCCAUUCUUUUAUACAUUUCAGAAACUAAGAAACAAUGGCUCCGACAGUGUAUAACAGAAGUGACUACAACCCUGUGCAAUAUCGCUUCAGUGUCAAAUGAUUUAAAAUUGUAUCACCUUACAGUUAAACUAAAGAUAAACAGUUUGUUAUUAGAUUUAUUAUAUUUAAAAAGGAGGAUGCCAGUGUUGCAGAAAGUUCUGAAAAGAUGUUCUGCCAUUCUUCAGAAACAUUUCUUUUCAGUUGUUCUUUGCUGAAUGACCUGUGCUGCUCUACCUUUCUUAUUAAAAUACUCCAAAGCUAUUUUAUGAGAUUCAAGUAAGGCGACAAACUUGACCAGGUCAUAGUUUUACUUCACUUUGGAUAGCUGUCAUGCUGCAAUAUUCCUCUUCUGUCAAGCUUUUGCCGACUGGAAAUCUUCUUGUCAGCCACUAUAAAUGUCAUCUCCCCGACA